UUCGCAAUGCCCGAAAGGGUGAACGAGCGACGCCGCGUGCGGGAUGAAGGGCUUCGGCUUGUAAACCGCUUUUCUUUGGGAAGAAGGUUCAGAUCGUGAAUCUGGGCUCGACGGUACCAGAGGAAUAAGCCCCGGCUAACUCCGUGCCAGCAGCCGCGGUAAGGCGGAGGGGGCAAGCGUUGUUCGGAAUUAUUGGGCGUAAAGGGCGCGUAGGCGGAUCGGCGGGUCCGGCGUGAAAUCUCCACCGCUUAACGGGGAGAAGCCGCUGGAAACUACCGAUCUGGAGUUCGGCAGAGGACCAUGGAAUUCCAGGUGUAGCGGUGGAAUGCGUAGAUAUCUGGAAGAACACCGGUGGCGAAGGCGGUGGUCUGGGCCGAAACUGACGCUGAGGCGCGAAAGCCAGGGGAGCAAACGGGAUUAGAUACCCCGGUAGUCCUAGCCGUAAACGAUGGGCACUAAGUAGAGGGGUUUU
rnacentral:rRNA from 1 species